rnacentral:rRNA from 1 species
GACGAACGCUGGCGGCGUGCUUAACACAUGCAAGUCGAACGGAAAGGCCCUGCUUUUGUGGGGUGCUCGAGUGGCGAACGGGUGAGUAACACGUGAGUAACCUGCCCUUGACUUUGGGAUAACUUCAGGAAACUGGGGCUAAUACCGGAUAGGAGCUCCUGCUGCAUGGUGGGGGUUGGAAAGUUUCGGCGGUUGGGGAUGGACUCGCGGCUUAUCAGCUUGUUGGUGGGGUAGUGGCUUACCAAGGCUUUGACGGGUAGCCGGCCUGAGAGGGUGACCGGCCACAUUGGGACUGAGAUACGGCCCAGACUCCUACGGGAGGCAGCAGUGGGGAAUAUUGCACAAUGGGCUGAAGCCUGAUGCAGCAACGCCGCGUGCGGGAUGACGGCCUUCGGGUUGUAAGCCGCUUUCGCCUGUGACGAAGCGUGAGUGACGGUAAUGGGUAAAGAAGCACCGGCUAACUACGUG